rnacentral:lncRNA from 1 species
GGAUCGAACUCGGGUCCUUGCACUUGUGCAGCAGGUGGCAAAACCACUGAGCUAAAUCCCCGGCCCCAUGCAGCAUUUUUUGAAGUUGUUUAGUUGCUGAAUAGCUAUGGGAUUUGGGAAUACCUAUGAAUUACAUAUGGGAAAAAGAACAGUUUACCAUUGGAAAAACCUGGCAGAUACCACCUUAGCCAGAUGAUCAAAGUUAACUUCAUCAGUAAAUCCAACACACUGAAAUCAUCUGCCAUCUGUUGGAAUGCAGCAAGAACACAGCACCACUUCUGUGAUAUUCCCACCAAAUAUGCAUAAGCUCAACAUAAUCAUGAGGAAACAUCAGAUAACUCAACGGAGGUUGUCCAACAAAAUGACUUUCACACAAUUUUGACCAUGAAUGUCAAGGUCAUGAUAGUCAAUAAAGACUGAGGACCUGUUCCAGACUAAAAGAGAAUAAGAACAUGUCCACCAAAUGCAAUAUGUUGUUUUGAAAAAAAUCACACAUCUAAACACAAUGUGUAAUUUCAUAACUUUUGUUAUAAAAAGACAUGAACGGGACAUUUGGGGAAAAUUAGAGCCUUAGAUGAGAUAGUAGUCAUGUUAUUUUCUGAUUUUGAAAAAUUAUAUGGUAGUUAUGCAAAAAUGUCAUUGUGGAAAUGCACACUGAAGUAUUCAAGAGUAAUGAAAUAUCCUAGAUGGUUUGAGGGAAAAAGAUUCUUUGUACUGUACUUGGCAA